CGUGGCCGGCCACGAUGGGGAGACGGGAUCUCGAAGUGGUGAUGAUGAGCUGGUCGCGCGAGGGCUCUCGAUCCGAGCCAGGCCCGGGAGGCAG
rnacentral:SRP_RNA from 1 species